UUAUAUUUUAGAAAUUUUGGAUACUUGCUAGAACCUUUGAAAGAAAGAGAUUUUUGAAGUUGUGAGGAUGGAAAUACCAAGAUUAUUCCCAAAGAACAGAUGUGAUUUGGCUUAUCUCAGUCUUUCUGGGGUCUCUCAAGACUCAGUAUUGGACCCUCUUUUCACCUGGGAAAUAUCAUCCAAGACAAGAGUGGAACGGAGAAGAGGUUCUUUGUCCACUAAAUAAGUGGACCAACUUUUUAGAAGAUGUAGACUAUGAAAAAAACAAAAG